GUUCUCCUUCCAGCGAUCCAGAUACUGACCCAGCACGUGGCUCAGAGACUCCCCCAGCUGCUGGGGAUAAGCCACAAGGUCACUGAGCUGGAGCAGAACCCAGGAACAGAACUGAAAUUCAGUCAGAAGCUCAGGGGGAAGCCAGUAUUGGGUUCUUGGAGCGGCGUUGUAGUAUGUCGAC